CGUCUUCUAAGAACAUUAGUGAACAAUUUUAUCAACAUGAAACUAUGUUGGCAACAACAACAACUAGUCAUCAAGAUUCAUGGCAUCAUGAUAAUAACAGGACAUUACUUGUUGAUGAUCCAUCUAUGAGAUGUGUUUUCCCUUGUGAAGGAAAUGAAAGGCCAAGUCAAGGACUUUCAUUAUCUCUUUGUUCAUCAAAUCCAUCAAGUAUUGGUUUACAAUCUUUUGAGCUUAGACAUCAAGAUUUGCAACAAGGACUAAUACAUGAUGGAUUUUUGGGUAAAUCUACAAGUAUACAACAAGGGUAUUUUCAUCAUUAUCAUCAAGUUAGGGACUCCAAAUAUCUAGGUCCAGCCCAG
rnacentral:misc_RNA from 1 species